AGAUUCCCUCAGUAGCGGCGAGCGAACGGGGAUCAGCCCAUUAAGUUAUGUGUGUUUUAGUGGAACGCUCUGGGAAGUGCGAACGUAGAGGGUGAUAUUCCCGUACACGAAAGGGCACACAUAAUGAUGACGAGUAGGGCGAGGCACGUGAAACCUUGUCUGAAUAUGGGGGGACCAUCCUCCAAGGCUAAAUACUCCUGACUGACCGAUAGUGAACCAGUACCGUGAGGGAAAGGCGAAAAGAACCCCUGUGAGGGGAGUGAAAUAGAUCCUGAAACCGCAUGCAUACAAGCAGUGGGAGCACCUUCGUGGUGUGACUGCGUACCUUUUGUAUAAUGGGUCAGCGACUUAUAUUCAGUAGCGAGGUUAACCGUAUAGGGGAGCCGUAGAGAAAUCGAGUCUUAAUAGGGCGUUUAGUUGCUGGGUAUAGACCCGAAACCAGGCGAUCUAUCCAUGAGCAGGUUGAAGGUUGGGUAACACUAACUGGAGGACCGAACCCACUGUCGUUGAAAAGCCAGGGGAUGACUUGUGGAUAGGGGUGAAAGGCUAAUCAAGCCUGGUGAUAGCUGGUUCUCCCCGAAAGCUAUUUAGGUAGCGCCUCGGACGAAUACCAUAGGGGGUAGAGCACUGUUUCGGCUAGGGGGUCAUCCCGACUUACCAAACCGAUGCAAACUCCGAAUACCUAUGAGUACUAUCCGGGAGACAGACUGCGGGUGCUAACGUCCGUAGUCAAGAGGAAAACAAUCCAGACCGCCAGCUAAGGCCCCAAAAUCAUAGUUAAGUGGGAAACGAUGUGGGAAGGCAUAGACAGCUAGGAGGUUGGCUUAGAAGCAGCCACCCUUUAAAGAAAGCGUAAUAGCUCACUAGUCGAGUCGGCCUGCGCGGAAGAUGUAACGGGGCUAAAACUAUGUGCCGAAGCUGCGGAUGUAUACUUUGUAUACGUGGUAGGGGAGCGUUCUGUAAGCCGAUGAAGGUGUGUUGAGAAGCAUGCUGGAGGUAUCAGAAGUGCGAAUGCUGACGUGAGUAACGACAAAACGGGUGAAAAACCCGUUCGCCGAAAGACCAAGGGUUCCAGUCCAACGUUAAUCGGGGCUGGGUGAGUCGACCCCUAAGGCGAGGCCGAAAGGCGUAGUCGAUGGGAAAAUGGUUAAUAUUCCAUUACUUCUGUGUAAUGCGAUGAGAGGACGGAGAAGGCUAAAUCAGCCUGGCGUUGGUUGUCCAGGUGAAAGGAUGUAGGCAUGUAUCUUAGGCAAAUCCGGGGUACUCUAUGCUGAGAUCUGAUAGCAAGCUGUACUUGUACAGCGAAGUGGUUGAUGCCAUGCUUCCAGGAAAAGUCUCUAAGCUUCAGUUACACAGGAAUCGUACCCGAAACCGACACAGGUGGUCAGGUCGAGUAGACCAAGGCGCUUGAGAGAACUCUGCUGAAGGAACUAGGCAAAAUGGUACCGUAACUUCGGGAGAAGGUACGCUGUUGUUGGUGAUGGAACUCGCUUCCUGAGCUGACGACAGCCGCAGAAACCAGGCCGCUGCAACUGUUUAUUAAAAACAUAGCACUCUGCAAACACGAAAGUGGACGUAUAGGGUGUGAUGCCUGCCCGGUGCUGGAAGGUUAAUUGAUGGGGUUAGCGUAAGCGAAGCUCUUGAUCGAAGCCCCAGUAAACGGCGGCCGUAACUAUAACGGUCCUAAGGUAGCGAAAUUCCUUGUCGGGUAAGUUCCGACCUGCACGAAUGGCAUAAUGAUGGCGGCGCUGUCUCCAGCAGAGGCUCAGUGAAAUCGAAAUCGCUGUGAAGAUGCAGUGUACCCGCGGCUAGACGGAAAGACCCCGUGAACCUUUACUGCAGCUUGACACUGAACUUUGACCUUACUUGUGUAGGAUAGGUGGGAGGCUUUGAAGCUGGAACGCUAGUUCCAGUGGAGCCGUCCUUGAAAUACCACCCUGGUAAUGUUGAGGUUCUAACUCUGUCCCGUGAUCCGGGACGAGGACCGUGUCUGGUGGGUAGUUUGACUGGGGCGGUCUCCUCCUAAAGAGUAACGGAGGAGUACGAAGGUGCGCUCAGCGUGGUCGGAAAUCACGCGUAGAGUAUAAAGGCAAAAGCGCGCUUAACUGCGAGACCCACAAGUCGAGCAGGUACGAAAGUAGGUCUUAGUGAUCCGGUGGUUCUGUAUGGAAGGGCCAUCGCUCAACGGAUAAAAGGUACUCUGGGGAUAACAGGCUGAUACCGCCCAAGAGUUCAUAUCGACGGCGGUGUUUGGCACCUCGAUGUCGGCUCAUCUCAUCCUGGGGCUGAAGCAGGUCCCAAGGGUAUGGC
rnacentral:rRNA from 1 species